rnacentral:rRNA from 1 species
CUCGUAGGCGGCCAACUAAGUCGGAUGUGAAAUCCCCAGGCUUAACCUGGGAACUGCAUCCGAUACUGGAUGGCUUGAAUUCGGGAGAGGGAUGCAGAAUUCCAGGUGUAGCGGUGAAAUGCGUAGAUAUCUGGAGGAAUACCGGUGGCGAAGGCGGCAUCCUGGACCGACAUUGACGCUGAUGAGCGAAAGCUAGGGGAGCAAACGGGAUUAGAUACCCCGGUAGUCCUAGCCCUAAACGAUGAAUGCUUGGUGUGGCGGGUAUCGAUCCCUGCCGUGCCGAAGCUAACGCAUUAAGCAUUCCGCCUGGGGAGUACGGUCGCAAGGCUGAA